rnacentral:tRNA from 1 species
GGGGAUAUAGCUCAGGUGGAAGAGUGUUUGCCUUGCAUGCACAAAGCCCUGGGUUCGAUUCCCAGUACUACAA